UACGUAGGGACCAAGCGUUGUUCGGAUUUACUGGGCGUAAAGGGCGCGUAGGCGGCAAUUCAAGUCAUCUGUGAAAUCUCCGGGCUUAACUCGGAACGGUCAAGUGAUACUGUCGUGCUAGAGUACAGAAGGGGCAACUGGAAUUCUCGGUGUAGCGGUGAAAUGCGUAGAUAUCGAGAGGAACACCUGCGGCGAAGGCGGGUUGCUGGGCUGAUACUGACGCUGAGGCGCGAAAGCCAGGGGAGCGAACGGG
rnacentral:rRNA from 1 species